UACGUAGGGUGCAAGCGUUAAUCGGAAUUACUGGGCGUAAAGCGUGCGCAGGCGGUUUUGUAAGUCUGUCGUGAAAUCCCCGGGCUCAACCUGGGAAUUGCGAUGGAGACUGCAAGGCUAGAAUCUGGCAGAGGGGGUAGAAUUCCACGUGUAGCAGUGAAAUGCGUAGAGAUGUGGAGGAACACCGAUGGCGAAGGCAGCCCCCUGGGUCAAGAUUGACGCUCAUGCACGAAAGCGUGGG
rnacentral:rRNA from 1 species